GGGUUGUGAGGUUAAGCGACUAAGCGUACACGGUGGAUGCCCCGGCAGUCAGAGGCGAUGAAGGACGUGCUAAUCUGCGAAAAGCGUCGGUAAGGUGAUAUGAACCGUUACAGCCGGCGAUGUCCGAAUGGGGAAACCCAGUGCAAUUCGUUGCACUAUCGUUAACUGAAUACAUAGGUUAACGAGGCGAACCGGGGAACUGAAACAUCUAAGUACCCCGAGGAAAAGAAAUCAACCGAGAUUCCCCAGUAGCGGCGAGCGAACGGGGAGCAGCCCGGAGUCUGAAUCAGCUUGUGUGUUAGUGGAAGCGUCUGGAAAGUCGCAGGGUACAGGGUGAUACUCCCGUACACUAAAACACACAGGUUGUGAACUCGAAGAGUAGGGCGGGACACGUGGUAUCCUGUCUGAAUAUGGGGGGACCAUCCUCCAAGGCUAAAUACUCCUGACUGACCGAUAGUGAACCAGUACCGUGAGGGAAAGGCGAAAAGAACCCCGGCGAGGGGAGUGAAAAAAAACCUGAAACCGUGUACGUACAAGCAGUAGGAGCCCACUUGUUGGGUGACUGCGUACCUUUUGUAUAAUGGGUCAGCGACUUAUAUUCUGUAGCAAGGUUAACCGUAUAGGGGAGCCGCAGGGAAACCGAGUCUUAACUGGGCGUUAAGUUGCAGGGUAUAGACCCGAAACCCGGUGAUCUAGCCAUGGGCAGGUUGAAGGUUGGGUAACACUAACUGGAGGACCGAACCGACUAAUGUUGAAAAAUUAGCGGAUGACUUGUGGCUGGGGGGGUGAAAGGCCAAUCAAACCGGGAGAUAGCUGGUUCUCCCCGAAAGCUAUUUAGGUAGCGCCUCGUGAACUCAUCUUCGGGGUAGAGCACUGUUUCGGCUAGGGGUCAUCCCGACUUACCAACCCGAUGCAAACUACGAAUACCGAAGAAUGUUAUCACGGGAGACACACGGCGGGUGCUAACGUCCGUCGUGAAGAGGGAAACAACCCAGACCGCCAGCUAAGGUCCCAAAGUCAUGGUUAAGUGGGAAACGAUGUGGGAAGGCCCAGACAGCCGAUGAUGUUGGCUUAGAAGCAGCCAUCAUUUAAAGAAAGCGUAAUAGCUCACUGGUCGAGUCGGCCUGCGCGGAAGAUGUAACGGGGCUAAACCAUGCACCGAAGCUGCGGCAGCGACACUAUGUGUUGUUGGGUAGGGGAGCGUUCUGUAAGCCGUUGAAGGUGGCCUGUGAGGGUUGCUGGAGGUAUCAGAAGUGCGAAUGCUGACAUAAGUAACGAUAAUGCGGGUGAAAAACCCGCACGCCGGAAGACCCAAGGUUCCUGUCCAACGUUAAUCGGGGCAGGGUGAGUCGACCCCUAAGGCGAGGCCGAAAGGCGUAGUCGAUGGGAAACAGGUUAAUAUUCCUGUACUCGGUGUUACUGCGAAGGGGGGGGGACGGAGAAGGCUAUGUUGGCCGGGCGACGGUUGUCCCGGUUUAAGCAUGUAGGCGGAUGUUCCGGUAAAUCCGGAGCGUCACUAACGCUGAGGUGUGAUGACGAGGCACUACGGUGCUGAAGUGACAAAUGCCCUGCUUCCGGAAAAGCCUCUAAGCAUCAGGUAACAUCAAAUCGUACCCCAAACCGACACAGGUGGUCAGGUAGAGAAUACCAAGGCGCUUGAGAGAACUCGGGUGAAGGAACUAGGCAAAAUGGUGCCGUAACUUCGGGAGAAGGCACGCUGAUGGUAAGUGAAGUGACUUGCUCAUGAAGCUGAAAUCAGUCGAAGAUACCAGCUGGCUGCAACUGUUUAUUAAAAACACAGCACUGUGCAAACACGAAAGUGGACGUAUACGGUGUGACGCCUGCCCGGUGCCGGAAGGUUAAUUGAUGGGGUUAUCCUCGCGGAGAAGCUCUUGAUCGAAGCCCCGGUAAACGGCGGCCGUAACUAUAACGGUCCUAAGGUAGCGAAAUUCCUUGUCGGGUAAGUUCCGACCUGCACGAAUGGCGUAAUGAUGGCCAGGCUGUCUCCACCCGAGACUCAGUGAAAUUGAACUCGCUGUGAAGAUGCAGUGUACCCGCGGCAAGACGGAAAGACCCCGUGAACCUUUACUAUAGCUUGACACUGAACACUGGUCCUUGAUGUGUAGGAUAGGUGGGAGGCUUUGAAGUGUGGACGCCAGUCUGCAUGGAGCCAUCCUUGAAAUACCACCCUUUAAUGGCUGGUGUUCUAACGUGGGCCCCUGAUCGGGGUUGCGGACAGUGUCUGGUGGGUAGUUUGACUGGGGCGGUCUCCUCCUAAAGAGUAACGGAGGAGCACGAAGGUCAGCUAAUCCUGGUCGGACAUCAGGAGGUUAGUGCAAUGGCAUAAGCUGGCUUGACUGCGAGCGUGACGGCGCGAGCAGGUGCGAAAGCAGGUCAUAGUGAUCCGGUGGUUCUGAAUGGAAGGGCCAUCGCUCAACGGAUAAAAGGUACUCCGGGGAUAACAGGCUGAUACCGCCCAAGAGUUCAUAUCGACGGCGGUGUUUGGCACCUCGAUGUCGGCUCAUCACAUCACAUCCGGGGCUGAAGUAGGUCCCAAGGGUAUGGCUGUUCGCCAUUUAAAGUGGUACGCGAGCUGGGUUUAGAACGUCGUGAGACAGUUCGGUCCCUAUCUGCCGUGGGCGCUGGAGAAUUGAGGGGGGCUGCUCCUAGUACGAGAGGACCGGAGUGGACGCAUCACUGGUGUUCGGGUUGUCAUGCCAAUGGCAUUGCCCGGUAGCUAAAUGCGGAAGAGAUAAGUGCUGAAAGCAUCUAAGCACGAAACUUGCCCCGAGAUGAGUUCUCCCUGACCCUUUAAGGGUCCUGAAGGAACGUUGAAGACGACGACGUUGAUAGGCCGGGUGUGUAAGCGCAGCGAUGCGUUGAGCUAACCGGUACUAAUGAACCGUGAGGCUUAACCUUACAACGCCGAAG
rnacentral:rRNA from 1 species